rnacentral:lncRNA from 1 species
AUGACGCCACGUACGGCCGCCUCGGUGUGUUGGUGCGCUUUGUUUUUUCUUGCUUUGUGUGUUAAUUCAGUUUUCGGCUGUGAUACCCGGGGCUCUUUCACUAGAGAAGAGCUCAUGAACAUCAGGGGAACAACUCCAGCUGAUCUCUUUCCCACUUUUCUUAUUUCUUCCGUGGAAUUAUUGGACAUUGUGGUCAAAGGUGCGCUCACCUUUGCUCACGCAGUGAAACGCAGGAGGAGAGGGAGACGUGCUGGUGCGCUUGUGCGUCUCCGCCAGCGCGGACAUCGCACACCGUUACCUGGGAUAUUCCUCUCCAAUGUGCGCUCACUGUGCAACAAAAUGGACGAACUUCAGCUACUUCUGGGGAAAAACAGUGACUUUUCUUCAUCCUCUGUUUUAUGCUUCACGGAGACGUGGCUGAGUGGAUCGGUACCGGACUCUGCGCUGCAGCUGGCAGGCUUCCAACUCCUCAGAGCGGAUCGUGACACGGAACUCUCCGGCAAAACAAAGGGUGGAGGUAUCUGUUUUUAUACCAACAGUAGCUGGUGUAAUGAUGUGACAGUGAUCCAACAGCACUGCUCUUCUACUCUGGAAUCUUUCUUUAUAAACUGCAAACCUUUUUACUCCCCCCGUGAGCUCGUUUCAUUCAUUCUGGUCGGUGUUUACAUUCCACCACAGGCCAACGUGCAGGACGCACAGCGAAUGCUUGCCGACCAGAUACUGUGUGUGGAGCGGACUAACCCGGACUCUUUAGUUAUUGUCCUCGGUGACUUUAACAAAGGAAACCUCAGUCACGAUCUUCCAAAAUAUAAACAGUUUAUUAAAUGCCCGACCAGAGAGAAGAAUAUACUGGAUCAUUGUUACACUACAGUCAGCGGAGCUUAUCAAGCCGUCCCCCGCGCCGCACUGGGCCUCUCCGACCACGUCAUGGUCCACCUGAUUCCCUCAUACAGGCAGAAAUUAAAGCUCUGCAAACCUGUUGUGAGGACAUCAAAGCAGUGGACCAGUGAAGCUGUGGAGGAUCUCCAGGCGUGUUUGGACUCUACUGACUGGGAUGUGUUCAGGACUGCUACUAACAGUCUGGAUGAGUACACAGAGGCUGUGACAUCAUAUACCAGCUUCUGUGAGGACUGCUGUGUACCAUCACGCACCAGGGUGAGUUACAACAACGACAAACCCUGGUUCACAGCCAAACUCAUUCAACUACGGUUGCAGAAGGAGCAAGCGUUCAGGAGUGGGGACAGGGACAAGUUUAAGGAGUCCAAGUACAAGUUUAGGAAGGCGGUGAGAGAAGCUAAACAUCAGUACUCUGGCUGA